GAUGCUUAGAAGUGAAAUCACUGGGUCAAAAGAGGGAACUAAGAGUGAGGAAACUGCAAUUCAUAUGUGUGGUUACAUGACUUAUAACAUUCUUUGGGCAUUUUCUUAUUACCAGAUCCUCAGCAGAGCACUUUCAUUCACUGCCUCAUGCAAUGCUCAAAAUCGCCAUGUGAAAGGAAGGUACUAUCCUUAUACUCUUUUCCAGAAUUAAUCAUCAUGGAAGAAUAUCGUGGAAAUGUAGAGGUGCAAAAUAAAUCAAAUAAAGUUGGCAAAAUAAAUACACAAAUGACUGGUGAUAUGAUCUGAAUGUUGAUAUCUCCUCAAAAUUUAUUUAUGUUGAAACCUAGUACCCAAUAUGAUGGUAUUAAGAGAUGGAGUUUUAGGGAAGUGGUUAAGUCAUGAGGGCUCCAAGCUUGUGAAUGGCAUCAGCGUCCUUACAAACGAAGCUUCAGGGAGCUCCCUUGCCCCUUCAGCCACAUGAAGACACAGAAGGUGCCGUCUAUUCGGAACGGGCCCUCACCAGACACCGAAUCAACUGGCACCUUGAUCUUGAAGUUCCUAUCCUCCA
rnacentral:lncRNA from 1 species